CGACAGCAAUAUGUAGGUCAGGCUGAAGGUCUUACCUGAAUCGCUGAGAGGAGGUGCAUGGCNGUCGUCAGUUCGUACUGUGAAGCAUCCUGUUAAGUCAGGCAACGAGCGAGACCCGUGCCCACUGUUGCCAGCAUAUCCUUCGGGAUGAUGGGUACUCUGUGGGGACCCGCCGGUGCUAAACCGGAGGAAGGUGCGGGCUACGGUAGGUCAGUAUGCCCCGAAUCUCCAGGGCUACACGCGGGCUACAAUGGUCGGGACAAUGGGUUCCUACCCCGAAAGGGGUUGGUAAUCUCAUAAACCCGCCCGUAGUUCGAAUUGAGGGCUGCAACUCGCCCUCAUGAAGCUGGAAUCCGUAGUAAUCGCGUUUCAACAGAACGCGGUGAAUACGUCCCUGCUCCUUGCACACACCGCCCGUCAAACCACCCGAGUAGGGUCUGAAUGAGAGCGCUUUCUUUGGAGGCGUUCGAAUUUGGGCUUUGCAAGGGGGGUUAAGUCGUAACAAGGUAACCUCAGUCAGUCAA
rnacentral:rRNA from 1 species